AUUACUUUGGCAGAUUAGUGCAUUAAAUUUAGAAUUUAAUAUAAAAUAUAAUAAAUUUAUUAUAUAAGUAAUA
rnacentral:tRNA from 1 species